rnacentral:rRNA from 1 species
GACGAACCGUGCGAACGUUGUUCGGAAUCACUGGGCUUAAAGGGUGCGUAGGCGGGCUCGUCAGUCGGGGGUGAAAUCCCACGGCCCAACCGUGGAAGUGCCUCCGAUACUGCGGACCUAGAGGGGGAUAGGGGCGUGCGGAACUUCCGGUGGAGCGGUGAAAUGCGUAGAUAUCGGAGGGAACACCGGUGGCGAAAGCGGCGCGCUGGAUCCCUACUGACGCUGAGGCACGAAAGCCAGGGGAGCAAACGGG